rnacentral:miRNA from 1 species
CAAAAGGCUUAUAGCUCCAAGCCCUGGCAGGCCAGGGAGGGCCUAUUGCUCUAAGCUAUAGAAGC